rnacentral:rRNA from 1 species
GACGAACGCUGGCGGCGUGCUUAACACAUGCAAGUCGAACGAAGAGCGACGGAAGCUUGCUUCUAUCACUCUUAGUGGCGAACGGGUGAGUAACGCGUAAUCAACCUGCCCUUUAGAGGGGGACAACAGUUGGAAACGACUGCUAAUACCGCAUACGAUCUAACCUCGGCAUCGAGGAUAGAUGAAAGGUGGCCUCUACAUGUAAGCUAUCACUGAAGGAGGGGAUUGCGUCUGAUUAGCUAGUUGGAGGGGUAACGGCCCACCAAGGCGAUGAUCAGUAGCCGGUCUGAGAGGAUGAACGGCCACAUUGGGACUGAGACACGGCCCAGACUCCUACGGGAGGCAGCAGUGGGGAAUCUUCCGCAAUGGACGAAAGUCUGACGGAGCAACGCCGCGUGAGUGAUGACGGCCUUCGGGUUGUAAAGCUCUGUUAAUCGGGACGAAAGGCCUUCUUGCGAAUAGUGAGAAGGAUUGACGGUACCGGAAUAGAAAGCCACGGCUAACUACGUG